rnacentral:rRNA from 1 species
AUUGAACGCUGGCGGCAUGCCUAACACAUGCAUGUCGAACGCUACUUGAGGGGCAACUCUUAAGUGGAGUGGCGGACGGGUGAGUAAUACGUAGGAAUCUGCCUUAGAGUGGGGGAUAACCUGUCGAAAGACGGGCUAAUACCGCAUAACCUCUACGGAGCAAAGGGGGCUAGCAAUAGCUUUCGCUUUAAGAUGAGCCUACGUCGGAUUAGCUAGUUGGUAGGGUAAAGGCCUACCAAGGCGACGAUCCGUAGCUGGUCUGAGAGGACGAUCAGCCACACUGGAACUGAGACACGGUCCAGACUCCUACGGGAGGCAGCAGUGGGGAAUAUUGGACAAUGGGGGAAACCCUGAUCCAGCAAUGCCGCGUGUGCGAUGAAGGCCUGCGGGUUGUAAAGCACUUUCGGUGGGGAAGAAAUACUCAAAUAUAAUACAUUUGAGAGCUGACAUUACCCAAAGAAGAAGCACCGGCAAACUCUGUGCCAGCAGCCGCCGUAA